GCCCUGAUGAAUCGGAGGUCCGGCCAUCCAGGUGACAAGCAUUAUCAGCUACACGUUGCUGAGAGAUGAAAUUGGAUUUUAUAAGCUGCCUUGAAAAUUAUGACAUGUUGAGUUCCUCGCUUUAGUGGAAGCUCGGCUCACACACUACUGAGUUGAAUGGAUCUUUAUCUUGUCUGUUGGUCAUGAAAAAAGCCAUUGCAGAUCACAUUCUUCAACGGACUUCACCAGGUAAG